CUCUAUGGCAGGUCGUGCGGGGAGACCUUCGGGUCUGCCGGGUCCUAUUGGCCGGUUCGCUAACCCCGCACGAUCUGCCGCCCUU
rnacentral:antisense_RNA from 1 species